UGAGUAACGCGUGAGGAACCUGCCUUCCAGAGGGGGACAACAGUUGGAAACGACUGCUAAUACCGCAUGACACAUGACCGUGGCAUCACGGACAUGUCAAAGAUUUAUCGCUGGAAGAUGGCCUCGCGUCUGAUUAGCUAGUAGGCGGGGUAACGGCCCACCUAGGCGACGAUCAGUAGCCGGACUGAGAGGUUGACCGGCCACAUUGGGACUGAGACACGGCCCAAACUCCUACGGAAGGCAGCAG
rnacentral:rRNA from 1 species